GACGACCAGCCACACUGGAACUGAGACACGGUCCAGACUCCUACGGGAGGCAGCAGUGGGGAAUUUUGGACAAUGGGCGCAAGCCUGAUCCAGCAAUGCCGCGUGAGUGAAGAAGGCCUUCGGGUUGUAAAGCUCUUUUGUCAGGGAAGAAACGGUGGAGGCUAAUAUCCUUYGCUAAUGACGGUACCUGAAGAAUAAGCACCGGCUAACUACGUGCCAGCAGCCGCGGUAAUACGUAGGGUGCAAGCGUUAAUCGGAAUUACUGGGCGUAAAGCGUGCGCAGGCGGUUUUGUAAGUCUGUCGUGAAAGCCCCGGGCUCAACCUGGGAAUUGCGAUGGAGACUGCAAGGCUUGAAUCUGGCAGAGGGGGGUAGAAUUCCACGUGUAGCAGUGAAAUGCGUAGAGAUGUGGAGGAACACCGAUGGCGAAGGCAGCCCCCUGGGUCAAGAUUGACGCUCAUGCACGAAAGCGUGGGGAGCAAACAGGAUUAGAUACCCUGGUAGUCCACGCCCUAAACGAUGUCUACUAGUUGUCGGGUUUUAAUUAACUUGGUAACGCAGCUAACGCGUGAAGUAGACCGCCUGGGGAGUACGGUCGCAAGAUUAAAACUCAAAGGAAUUGACGGGGACCCGCACAAGCGGUGGAUGAUGUGGAUUAAUUCGAUGCAACGCGAAAAACCUUACCUACCCUUGACAUGUCAG
rnacentral:rRNA from 1 species